rnacentral:rRNA from 1 species
UACAGAGGUGGCAAGCGUUGUUCGGAAUUACUGGGCGUAAAGGGCGCGUAGGCGGCCAUCUAAGUCAGACGUGAAAUCCCCCGGCUUAACCUGGGAACUGCGUCUGAUACUGGGAGGCUUGAGUAUGGGAGAGGGAUGUAGAAUUCCAGGUGUAGCGGUGAAAUGCGUAGAUAUCUGGAGGAAUACCGGUGGCGAAGGCGGCAUCCUGGACCAUUACUGACGCUGAGGCGCGAAAGCUAGGGGAGCAAACGGG